CCUCCCAAAAAAACCGUGCCAAAAAAAUCUGCCUCCCGAUCCCAUCCGGAUCUCCAAGCUCCAGCGCGCCGCCACCUCCUGCCGACCGCCGCCCUCCCCGGCACAGCGCGCCGCCACCUCCUGCCGACCGCUGCCCUCCCCGGCACCGCGCGCCGCCACGAGCGCCGGCAGCGCCUCCUGUAUGUCCACGACCCCCUUCCUACAGUCCUAGCCGCCCCUCUCUAUCUCCUCACAGAUCGCCGCUUAGGGUUCCGGCCUGCCGCUACCCCUUCCCGCGCUCCCUGCCACCUCCCCUACAUCUCAACCGCCGGCCCACCACUCCUCCGUCGACCUCCCUCAAUCUUUUGUCUAGGGUUCCCCGCCUUCGUCGGCGCCGGCGCCGGCGCCAUCGCAGAAACCCAGGGCAUGUCAGAACUCCAAGCAGGUGGGGUGGUGCUUGCAUGGAUUCGCCGCACGCCGCUGCCGCCGCGGAUCCCCAGGGUCGCCGCCGCGGCCGCCUCCGCCGCUGAUCCUGACGGAUGAAGUAGACGCCGGCGAAAAGGGUAGGGCGUGGCCGACGAGGAGCAGCAGCCCGAUUUGUGCAUGAUUGGCGGCAAAUUUGCUGCAGCUGGCCCCUUAUCCUCUCCUCCCCAAUUGAACUCAGGCCUGAUGCGAUGAGUUAAAUACAGAGUGAUGGGGAGAUUUUUGUGUGUGACUAGGUGAUGCCCUUUGAUGUGCUGCUUCUACGAAUGCCUAUAUAGAGAGUGGAGGGUGUCUAAUGUUGUUGCUGCUAAUGCCUACACACAGAGAGAUAGAGGUGUGGUGCUAGCUAUAUUGUUGUGACGGAAAACAUUGGGAUCUAACAUAAGUACCCGCGCAGGCAUUGCAUUGGUUGAAUCUACUUCCAACUGAAAAUGGUCACCGGCAAGCAGGUGGAUUCACAACUUGGUGGAUGGAAUUUCAAGGCACACUGUUCAGGUUAACCCCAAUGCAUGGAGUGUCCAGUCCCCUAGAGUGUCAAUCUGUGAUUACCUUUCUAAAAGGGGCUUGAUUUCUUUCCCUUGGCUAAUGUGUGCUCUGAUCUUUUUUUCUUCCAGAUUUGGUGUAGGGCAUGAACAGAGCCUUGAUUGCUCGAAUGGGCUGGGACCAGAUUGUUGUUUUACUGGUCAGUUAAUUCAUCGCAAACUAGAGGUACAGGUGAUCUGAUGUCAGAUUGUUCACACAACGAUGUCCUUGCCACUUCUGUAGGUAAGAUGCUAUCAUUCGUGGCUGAUGUUCGAUUGUUUAACACAUGGUGUUUUCGCCUACUGUGUUGUAUGAUAGUUUCAGUUAUUAAUUGGAACAAAUAACCAGGGGAGCUGUCUAGCUAAUACUUGGUACUGAACUGUACUUUAUCCUCCAUCGUAUUGAGGUUAUCCAUGUGCACUAUGCAAUGAUUUUAUUUUUUCUAAAGAAAACUUGAAUUUGAUGUUACGUUAUCCCCAAAAGAACACAAAAUGAAUGGACGGAUGGAAUCGUUUCCUCACUCAUGAAAUGUGUCUGGCAUCAGCAAACAUCACAAAAAACAAAACCAGCUCAUUUUAUGCUAGCACAUAACCUUAAGUACAGUUAAAGUAUUGAAAUGAAGACUACUGGACAAUGCAGAGCAAUUUAUUUUCCUUUCAUUUGUUGCAUACUUUGCAUCAACUUAAAUUUCUCGUGACUGCCUAAGAGAAAACCAUGCUUGUUUUUUUUAAAUCGAGCAAGACACCGUCCUUGGUAAAAAAGAUACAUACCAAUGUUUGUUUUCUCAUGUUAUGUUGCAAUCUCGAGUCUCUCUACUGCUUUGCAGCGAGACUUAUAUUUUACGAAUCUGGCUGUCUUUCUUGAAAAUAAUUGAGCUUUUGUUUUCCACAACAAAAAGACACUAGGAAAUGCAUUCGUAAGCUGCCAUUUAUAUUAAUUGCCAUUCUUGCCCACUUCCUCUGAUUGCAGCUCUUUGUGUGAAUCAUUUAGUUCAUCAGCAGUCAGGCUUUUUAAAUUUCAGGUAUCCCACCCUGUUAUCUAUUUUCCAAAUCAAUUGAUUCUUGGUAUGUUACAAUAUAGACACCCGGAGAAGGUAGACAUAGCAUGUCAUCUUCUUUCAACUAAUGUUUUGUUAAAACACAUUGAUGUUAUCCUUCAUUUUUGCUACAGACCUUUCCUUAUAUUUAUGCACUUCUUCAAAUGGCGAACAUAACAUGUGAAUCAUCGGCUAAUAUUUUUACAAAGAUUAGUCUCAUGAUACAUAGUGAAGUAAUAUAGGUGUCAUAUACCACAAUCAUAUCACCUCUCAGAUUAUCUGUAAUAUACCACAAUCAUAUCACCUCUCAGAUUAUCUGUACGUUUAUUAUUUGGUUCCUCCUUUUUUGGUUCAUUUUGCAAUAGAUAUGGAAUCUGAAUUACUAAUAGAUAGUACUAAGAAAUUAAUUCAGUAGAUGCUUCAUUAGGCAUGGCCUUCGUUAAAUAAAUAAUUUCUUCAGGGAGGAUUAAGUAAAUUGAUAUGCAAUGUACAAUUAUUUGAUGAAUUGAUAAUUUGGUGUAGCAUGGAGAUUGAUCUCAUUGGUACAUAUAUUCUUUAGUUGGAAUAAGGUGACCAAACUAAAGUAAGUGAUUGAUAAUUUAUGUGUUGUCUAUAAUCUCACAUUGGCAGUUUUGAGCACUGUUCUCACCUUCUUUUCUUGAUAAAAAAAAUGAAUUCUUCAACUUUGUUUUGUGGUUGCGUGGCGUAGAUGAAGCCACUGUCCGCCCCCAUAUAGUUGCAUAAACAAGAAAACGACAACCAGAGCUACGCCGGUACUAGGAACACCUUGGAUUCGUUUCUCAAGUUGAGCCCUGUGCUCUGACAAUAUGUGGCUUCUAUCUUGUUGUGCAGGUAUCAAACUACUCCCAGGAGAGGUUCUAUGCCAUCUUGAGCAAAUAAUUGAGAAAAACCCACUAAGGAUACAGGGAGAUGAACGAUGUGGAUACGAAGAAGCACUGAGAUCUGCUUUUCAGCAUUAGAUGGUUCGGGAGAAUAGAUGACACGCGAGGUCCAACGGCGAGUAAGCAAUCCCGUUGAUGGGAUUCCCAUGGAGGAUGUUGCCUUGCUGGCGGUUGUUGUGCUCAUGUGGUCCUCUCAUGUUGCAGCAGCCAACUGCGAUGAUUCACUGAUCUUGCUCGCCCAUGGUAAGGAGCCUGUGGCACUCAGGUCUCAACUAAUCACAAGUCAUGCAGAAGCAUUCCUUGACAGCUGCAUGAUCAAGAAUAUCAAACAGACAGCGUCACUGCACUUUUUUGGUGUAAAUUCUUGACAUAUAGUUUUAUGUGCUCCAUGCAAGUUAAGAGACUCUCAAGAGUUGCAUACUUGCAUAUACUGUAGUGAACCACACACAUGACUAGGAGAGGAGGGGAAGAAGAGGAUGCAUCCUGAAGAGGUCGAGAAGCUUGCGGAGGCGGGAAGAUCAGGCACAUGUAUCAUUGUACAGGAUUGUAGAGAUUUUAAAAUUAAUUAUUUGAUGGAUUGGCUUUGAUAGCCAAACUGAAUGGCUCCGCAGACUAGCGGGUGCACUAAAUUGGUGCACUGGAUGCUAAUUUCCAAGGCAACACCAAUAUGAGCAUAAGGACCAUCAAAUGUAUCACGUAUGAUUUGUUCAAGGAAUACUAGACUAUCCUCCCCGCAGAAAGGACUGUUAGAGGUUUCAUGUUGCAUUGCUUCUAGACGGCAAGUCGGACCAAUUGUUGAGAUUUAUGUGAAUAACCAUUCUGGUAAGAAGUUCGCGCAGAGUGUUUCAGAUGGUUGCAUGGGCCAUUCUUGUUUUUUUUGGAGUUUUCUUGACUCUAUGCCUUGCAAACAUAGUGGGGGUUCAACAAAGGCAUGCAUACUUACAUUUUGGAGCAGUGAGCUAAGUCAGAUCAGCUUGGAUUUUCAGUCAGAAAGUUUUUCCCCUAUAUCUGCAACCACAUAAUACAAUCAUCUACUAUUUUUUUUCAACCCUCAUUUAAGCAUAUCGCAUUCCCCUUCCCUUUUAUUUAUUUACUUUUAAGAGCUCUGCUUUAGCGUUCUAUGUCAUAUUGGUAUCAUCUCUAUAUAACUUUUUUUUAUGGAAACAGAAGUUGUGUGUGCAAUGUUGAAGCUUGUUAAGAUAUUAUUAUUGCA